rnacentral:rRNA from 1 species
CAAGCUGUGGAGCAUGUGGUUAAUUCGACGCAACGCGAAGAACCUUACGCUGGGCUCGAAAUGCAGAUGACCAUCGGUGAAGCCGACUUCCGCAAGGACGUCUGUAUAGGUGCUGCAUGGCUGUCGUCAGCUCGUGUCGGAGAUGUUGGGUUAAGUCCCGCAACGAGCGCAACCCUUGUUUCCUGUUGCCAUCACGUUUGGUGGGCACUCUGGAGAGACUGCCGGUGACAAACCGGAGGAAGGUGGGGAUGACGUCAGUCAGCAUGGCCUUUAUGUCCAGGGCUACACACGUGCUACAAUGGCCGGUACAAACCGUGCGBUCCCGCGAGGGGGAGCUAAUCGGACAAAGCCGGUCUCAGUUCGGAUUGCAGGCUGAACUCGCCUGCAUGAAGUUGGAAUCGCUAGUAAUCGCGGAUCAGCAUGCCGDGGUGAAUCGUUCCCGGGCCUUGUACACACCGCCCGUCACAUCACGAAAGCUGGCUGUACUAGAAAUGCCGCGCUAACCCGCAAGGGAGGCAGGUACUUAAGGUAUGGUCAGUGAUUGGGGUG